UCAAACAAAAAAGUUGGAUUUUACAGCGCCGCCUGUGGCAAAGUUGCGAACUAAAACUAAACGCCAUUCGACGCGCCCUAUUUUUAUAAAAUUUUCAUCCGAAGAUACCAUGCCGAUAAAAUCACGUUUAAAGACGCUACUGAAAAAAGUUCACGUUUUUGGCCAUUCGUCCCACCGUGCAUUACCUGCGCUGCCAUGACUGUUUUGUGACCAUGUGUGUUGCUUGGGCUACUCUAGAGUGCUGCAGAUGUGUCUUAUUCUCCUUUCAGACAUUUUUAACAGCUUUGCACAUCUUGUCACUUUGUACAACAACCUGGUAACUGUUGUAAACGAUGAACAAAUAAUGAGUUCAGUAAGCAGGGCUUUUUACCUAAAUACGAAGUUCCGUCCAUUACACUGUUUUGACAAGAAUCAGCGCUUGUUUGUGUUUUCAAAAAAAGCAGAAACAGUCUCACCAAACGAUCGCCAAUAUUCAGAACCCAUCUUCUUAAUCUGUUCUCCGGGUUUAUGAAAUGGUAUUCAUUUUAUAACACUGGGUUUAUCCAUGUUAAUGACAAAUGAUAGUUGUUACAAUAUCAGUUUCACUGUAAAUGAGGGUAUCCCAUAUUUAAUAUCAAAAAUUUGCAACAACCCAUUCGUUCGUAUUCAUCCGGAAGAAAUUACACCAGAACUGAAAGGCUUACUUGAAAACUAAGUACAUGUUUGGAAGUUUCAUUCAAGUCACAAAAACUAAAAUCUUUCGACAAAAAAAAAAAUCGAUGUCUAAGGAACUAUCCAUUCUGUACGCUAUAACUCUUCGUACAUGUGGCUCUCCCAGAAGCUGGAAUGUGCCAAUUGACAGCUGAAAAACUAGGAAACGAUCAAAAGAGGAAACAGCGGAACGAAGUUGAGCUUGGCUGACAAUACGCCCUUACUGCCCGUGUUGUAUGCUGUCGAUGAUGUCGUUGUCAUCGUCAUCGGAGAUAGAGCGAAUGCCGGUUUGGUUCCUACCGUGCGAUGCAGCACAAACCACUGUCAGUUUUUCCGGCAGCAAAGGGUGGGGGAAGAAAUAAGUUUGAUGACAAUGAAGUUCUCUGGCCGUGGCAUAUGUGGAAAUUUCGUUGGAAAAUUGAACCGAGCAGAGCAUAUUGUUUUUUGGUUGCACUAUGCUGGCACACAAACUGCUCCAUGUCGUCCAUGUGCGACGGAAGGGGUGCCUAUGUAAGCUCUUUCGGACGAGUUGAUUAAAUAUUCAAAUUGCUGUGCAGUUUCUCUAUUCGGUUCGUGGUUGUUUUCGGACUCUCAUCAAUUUGGGAAAAUGCAGUAAUUGGCGAAACAUUACUAAUUAGAAGUUUCCGUUCGUUUUUGUGCAUAUUCAUGCAGCCAUCAAUUUUGGAUGUGACAGUUUUCAUGGAAACUGACAAGUUCUAAAAUUGUUUCUAGGAGCAGCAAAAUCGUUUGUUUGAGUAAAUACACUGGUUUUCCAUGCGCAUAACUGUUGAUCAUAUUCACGCGGUUUAGAUUAUUAACUGUUAACAAGGAGAUUUGGUUGUAUUUCAGUGACGAAAUUAGAUUUCUACUAAGCCUACCUUGAUAGCAUAGAACGAGCUCACCAAUUCACAUAAAGAUCUCAUAAGUCGUGUCAAAUAUUUGGUAAAACAAGCCUAACAAAUGACCAACACAACGUGAACCACAGCAACCUUGGAUAAAUGUCGGACUUCAAUGGUAAAUAUUUGGCAUAAUGACAAACAGUCUAAUGGCACCUUAAGUAUGCAUCUCUUCGUUGCUUCAUUGGCAUUGGUCAAACGACGAACAUCGCAUUAGUCAGCAAAGACUAUCACAUAUGUAUCAAGAGAAAAAUAAAUACACUCUGACAAACACGAAGGGGGAACGAACUGUAAAAAUGCUGAAAAAUUUAAUGUGUAAGCCGAAGCUAUUCAAAAUAACUCUUUUUGUUUCAUUUCAGGUACGGCAAACUUCUAUUUAAACCCUUACUUUUGAUUGAAACAGUUUCUGCUUACGAUGACUUUUUAUGGGUUAGUAUUGCACAAAAGAAAAAAAAAACAAACUGAGGCAUCUGCACGCACGAGAACCGCAGGUGUUUGGAUUAAACUUCCGGUAAUGUUCCAUGCUUCGCAACAAGCAUAUUUGUGGAUCCUUCCUCGCUGGAAGUGCGCUACUUGGAAAUAAAGCACGCUUUUUUAUCAUCGCAUGUUGUCGAGGAAAUAAGUGAGCUUGCGAUGCUCUCAGAACGGCAGCAAAACAUCACCGUUAGCAGGGCUACCGAAAUUACAUCUUCACGACGCAAACUAAUCCGAAAGUAGAGUGCAUAAAUAUUUUGACGGUCUAAUCUCAGCAAAUCAAUCAGCAAUCAACGGAAAUAACUGCUCUGGACUACCAUUCCGUGCCGUGUUAUGGUAUGGUGAAGUGGAACAGUGUUUCUCAAAUAUUCACAGCACAAUCACACAGAAUUGGUUUCUUAUUUUUUUUUUUUUUGACAGCUUAAUAUAUGAAAGUAGUAAGAAAUGGGGACACUUUUUCUCGAGGACUGAACAAUGUUAAAUGAGCAGAGUACCUAGCCAAUACAAGCAUCGUAUAUGCUGUUGAAUAGGAUGCACAAUUGGAGGCGAUAUGCUUAUAUUUUACGCGUGUCAAAUGGAAGUAUAUACACAUAUGAACUCCACUUUUGCAUCAUUUUCUACAUCAUAUACGACUUCGUGUUGGUUGGGCACACAUUACAUGGACGAAGCAAUACAUUUUUUUUUCGGGAGACGCAUUUCAACUCUACGAAAACUUGGCUUUUUUGAUGGAAAAUUCUUGCAAAAAACACUAUUGAGAACUACUGAAAAAAAAGUUGAACGAGCAGUAGCAUAUGUUGCUUCUUCAGGUUAAAGCAGCACCAGACGUCUGCCACCGCCACUGGAAAAUUAGCAUGCAGAUCCCGUAUCGCUUCAGAAAAAAAAAAUUUCGUCCUGCACUCAAGGGAAACUGUAUGAAACGACGACUGCAAGCAAUUUACCUGCCUGCCUGCCUGUCCAGGCCCAGCUUUCAGUCACAAGACGCGAUUUUCACAUUUUUUCUGCUCACACUUAGCACUUUGGUUGAUAGCACCACCACCAGCACCGCCGAGGUCGAGAAAAAAUCAUUCGUCUUGCUUAGGCUUGAGCCGGGGAAAAUCUUUUGUUGACAAUUGAUUAUUUAGGAAAACGAGAUAACAAGUCGCCGCGUUUCGCUGACGAAGCAGAAGAUUCAAGGAAAUAUCGCUAACAUUAUCUCUGAUGCUCUCCGCAGGUAGGAUGGCUUUACGAAGAUAUACCUUUGGUGAAUAAACAUUCGCCAGAUGUAGUAAGUGUAUCUUUGGUUUCUGCUUUUAUCAUUGCUGCCGGCUGUUUAAUGUGAUGAAUUGUUGAAUUUUGUAUUUUCUUAAAUAUUGACUUAUCAACGCAAUAUAAUUGGAAGCGUCUUGAGAACUGAAAAGAACAAGUGACAUGUGAAUUUGGCUAUUUGAUUGUGUAGUUCUUGGUUGGAACAUUUGUUCGCUAUC